AGCAGCCGCGGUAAUUCCAGCUCCAAUAGCGUAUAUUAAAGUUGUUGCAGUUAAAAAGCUCGUAGUUGAAUUUUAGGCCUGGCCGGGCGGUCCGUCUUUGGCGAGUACUGUUCUGUGUCGGGUCUUACCUUCUGGUGAACCGGCAUGUUCUUUAUUGAGUGUACCGGGGAGCCAGGACCAUUACCUUGAAAAAUUAGAGUGUUUAAAGCAGGCAUUUGCUUGAAUAGAUUAGCAUGGAAUAAUAGAAUAGGACGUUGGUUCUAUUUUGUUGGUCUAGGACCACCGUAAUGAUUAAUAGGGAUAGUUGGGGGCAUUAGUAUUCAAUUGUCAGAGGUGAAAUUCUUGGAUUUAUUGAAGACUAACUAUUGCGAAAGCAUUUGCCAAGGAUGUUUUCAUUAAUCAAGAACGAAAGUUAGGGGAUCGAAGACGAUCAGAUACCGUCGUAGUCUUAACCAUAAACUAUGCCGACUAGG
rnacentral:rRNA from 1 species